GGCUGCAUUUAGCUUUAUGGCAGAACAUCUGCUUGGCAUGCAGAAGGUCCCAGGUUCAAGUCCCGGCAGCAUCU